rnacentral:rRNA from 1 species
UUUUCAUGGAGAGUUUGAUCCUGGCUCAGGACGAACGCUGGCGGCGUGCUUAACACAUGCAAGUCGAACGGAAAGGCCCAGCUUGCUGGGUACUCGAGUGGCGAACGGGUGAGUAACACGUGGGUGAUCUGCCCUGGACUCUGGGAUAAGCCUGGGAAACUGGG